rnacentral:rRNA from 1 species
UAUGGCCAUACCACCACCCCUGAAUGUACCCAAUCCUGUCUGAUCUCAGAAGCUAAGCAGGGUUGGGCCUGGUUAGUACUUGGAUGGAAGAAAGAUCUUCAGGAGACUGCUCAGA